rnacentral:rRNA from 1 species
GAACCUUACCUGGGCUCGAAAUGUAGUGGACCGGGGUAGAAAUAUCCCUUCCUAGCAAUAGGCUGCUAUAUAGGUGCUGCAUGGCUGUCGUCAGCUCGUGUCGUGAGAUGUUGGGUUAAGUCCCGCAACGAGCGCAACCCUUAUCCCCAGUUGCCAUCAUUAAGUUGGGCACUCUGGUGAAACCGCCUCGGAUAACGGGGAGGAAGGUGGGGAUGACGUCAAGUCCUCAUGGCCUUUAUGUCCAGGGCUACACACGUGCUACAAUGGCCGGUACAAACCGUCGCAAACCCGUGAGGGGGAGCUAAUCGGAAAAAGCCGGCCUCAGUUCGGAUUGUAGUCUGCAACUCGACUACAUGAAGCUGGAAUCGCUAGUAAUCGCGGAUCAGAAUGCCGCGGUGAAUACGUUCCCGGGCCUUGUCACACCGA